CACACGACUCUCGGCAACGGAUAUCUCGGCUCUCGCAUCGAUGAAGAACGUAGCAAAAUGCGAUACCUGGUGUGAAUUGCAGAAUCCCGCGAACCAUCGAGUUUUUGAACGCAAGUUGCGCCCGAGGCCUUCUGGUCGAGGGCACGCCUGCCUGGGCGUCACG
rnacentral:rRNA from 1 species